rnacentral:misc_RNA from 1 species
UUUUAAUAUCAGUAUGUUACUUGAAAUGCGUCGACUCGGUUCGGCGGUUCGGUCGUUGUUUCUUUCUCCGUAGGGAAGAGAACCCUUGUGUACUGUUACAGAGUUUGUUCAGCAGAAGUUUGGAUCUAUCUUGUCUGAUUGUCUUCUCGCGGGCGGGUAUUGUUGCCUGCUAAGUUGACAGAUAGGUCGGAAUUGGAAAUCAAAGAUCGCAAUUCGCAAUACAUUGAGAGUCGAUUUCGCGUUUUUGGUUGUAUCGAAGUUUCGAUAGUUGAAGACCUGAGGGUGGGGUGUGUGUUUUCUAAUUGUCGUAAAAAGGUGGUGUGAUUUUGGCUCGGGGAAGUAUUGCGCUUAUGUGGUGAAAUUUUGCGAAGAGGAAAAAGUCGCAUUUCCUUGUACAAAAUUUUAGCAAUAUCCCCCGCCGCACACAUGUAUGCACGUUUGUGCGUGUGUUAGUGUAGUUUAUCGGCGAUAUUGGCACCUCGCGGUAUCGAAAAAAGGCCGUAAAGUGAUUCGAUCUGUUUGCGUGUAUGUGUGCAGCAGAGGUAGAUUUUCCGCGAGUGUUGGUGUAAAUUGCAAGUAUAUCGGGUGGUAGUGUUUUGUACACCUUUCGGGUAACCCCGGGGACCGAUCCGACCCGCUGUCUCCGACGUCGUCGGGUGUUCAUUCCGUCGCAAGUUUUUCGCACAUUUUGGGGCCUGAGGAAAAGAUAAAAAUUUGACGUAACCUCUUUAGUGCUGCGGUACGUCGUGCGUACGUGAGCCUCUGGGCCCUUACAAUUGGUGUUCGGUACGGUGCCCAGUUUGGUUUGGCCAAGUGUCACUCGUGGUCCGUGCAAAAGCAAAACAAAGUAGCCCGGUGUGUAUCGCGCGUGUGGUUAUAAUCAUGUGCAAUCAGUGAGUGAAUCCCUCAAAGUUCGUGUUUUCUCUCUAUCCGAGUCUGCUGUGUCAAGUGUAUCUGUUUGAGUGUGUGUUUACAUCUGGUAGAGUGGUUGCCCACUGUGUCGAAGACCAUGACCCUGUCACUGCGUUUGGUAGUGCUGGGUGCGCUAUGGCUCGCCUACUGCGGUGGAGCAAGCAAACUGGCCGCCAAAGCAGGCCUGGAUGAUGAGGCCGCGGUGGCUGCCGCCGCCUUCAAGGAGGACACCCUGGCCAGCAACAUGCUGCCCGAGCAGGAACCGCCGCAUGUUACCAAGGGACCCGGCAAGCCGGCAAAACCAACCAAGCCACCGGCGGCUAAGAAUGCGCCAACGGCCGCGAAAGGACCCCGAAAUGAAUUGAACGGCACCCUGCAGUGUUCGGAGCGCCAGUUCCGCUGCAACGACGGCCACUGCAUCCACGUGAGCUUCAUCUGCGACGGGGACGCGGACUGUGCCGACGCCAGCGACGAGCAUCCUCGGGAGUGCAAAAUUACAGAAACCGCAUGUUCGGAUGACAAAUUCCGGUGCAAGAGUGGCCGCUGCAUUCCGAAGCACUGGCAGUGUGACGGCGAAAAUGACUGCAGCGACGGUUCGGACGAGGACUCGGAAAAGUGUCAGUCCAAGGUGUGCUCGUCGGAGGAGUUUACGUGCCGCAGCGCGACCGGAACCUGCAUCCCGCUGGCCUGGAUGUGCGACCAGAACCGGGACUGCCCGGACGGCUCGGACGAGAUGUCGUGCAACGAAACCUGCCGUUCGGACGAGUUCACCUGUGCCAACGGGCGAUGCAUCCAGAAGCGGUGGCAGUGCGACCGGGACGACGACUGCGGUGACAACAGCGACGAGAAGGGCUGCCAGGCGACCACGUGCGACCCGCUGAAGCAGUUUGCCUGCUCGGAGAACUACUGCAUCACGGCCAAGUGGCGCUGCGACGGCGAACCCGACUGCCCGGACGGCUCGGACGAGCGGGGCUGCACGAAUCCGACACCGCCGACGGUGAAUCCGUGCCUGUCGCUUGAGUACCAGUGCAGCGAUCGGAUCACCUGCAUCCACAAGAGCUGGAUCUGCGACGGCGAGAAGGACUGCCCGCAGGGUGACGACGAGAUGCCGCCGAUCUGUCAAAACGUAACGUGCCGGCCGGACCAGUUCCAGUGCAAGAAGGACAAAACGUGCAUCAACGGGCACUUCCACUGCAACGGCAAGUCGGACUGCUCGGACGGAAGCGACGAGGUGGAUUGUGCGGAACGACCGGUCGCCAAGUGCAACCCGAAGACGGAGUUCGACUGCGGCGGUGGCAUGUGCAUCCCGCUGUCCAAGGUGUGCGACAAGAAGGCCGAUUGUCCGGAAUUCCAGGACGAACCGGUGGACAAGUGCGGCAAGAACGAGUGUCUGGAGAGCAACGGGGGUUGCUCGCAUCUGUGCGUGGACACUCCCGCUGGAUACUACUGUGACUGCAAACCUGGCUACAAGCUGGUCAACAACCGCACCUGCGAGGACAUCAACGAGUGCGAGGAGGCCGGUUCCUGCUCGCAGCGGUGCACCAACGAGAUCGGUACGUUCAAGUGCGAGUGCAUGACCGGAUACCUGCGGGACCCGCGCGACCACACCAAGUGCAAGGCCACCGAGGGGCACGCAUCGCUGCUGUUUGCGCGGCGCCACGACAUCCGCAAGAUUUCGCUGGACCACCGCGAGAUGACGUCGAUCGUGAACGACACCAAGGCGGCGACGGCGCUGGACUUUGUGUUCCGCACCGGGAUGAUCUACUGGAGCGACGUGUCCGAGCAGCGGAUCUACAAAGCACCAAUCGACGAGGGGUCAGACAAAACGGUGGUUGUGAAGGACCAAACCGUCACCUCGGACGGUCUCGCCGUGGACUGGAUCUACAACCACAUCUACUUUACCGACAUCAAGAAGUCGACCAUCGAGCUGACCAACUUCGAUGGCAACAUGGGUAAGAUUCUGAUCAAGGACGAUCUGGAGAUUCCACGCGCGAUUGCACUGGAUCCAAUCGAUGGCUGGAUGUACUGGACCGACUGGGGAACGACCCCUCGCAUCGAGCGCGCCGGAAUGGAUGGAACGCACCGCCAGGUGAUCGUCAACUACGAGGUCAAGUGGCCCAACGGACUCACGCUGGACCUGGUGCGGAAGCGAGUGUACUGGGUGGACGCCAAGUUGAACGUGAUUUCCUCCUGUAACUACGACGGAUCCAAACGGGCCGUGGUACUCUACUCGGCUGACUACCUGCGGCAUCCGUUCUCGAUCACCACGUUCGAGGAUUACGUGUACUGGACCGACUGGGACAAGGAAGCGGUCUUCAAGGCGAACAAAUUCAACGGCAAGGAUAUCGAGCCGGUGACGGCGAUGCACAUGCUCCAGCACCCGAUGACGAUCCACGUGUACCACCCGUACCGCCAGCCGGACGGCACCAACCACUGUCAGGCCGUGAACGGACACUGCUCGCACCUGUGCCUGCCGGCACCGCAGAUCAACAGCCGGAGUCCAAAGAUCUCCUGCGCGUGUCCCACCGGACUCAAGCUGAUGGACGACGGCCUCAUGUGCGUCGAGGACGCGAGUGCAACCACUACGAGGGGUCCACCAACGACGCAUGUUAAGCCCCACGGGUCAAGCUCGAACUCCGCAUCGUCGUCGUCCUCUUCCGGCCGGAAUGCCACCACCGACAACAAACAGAUCGAGCAUCACUCCAGUAAUAUUUACGAAAGCAACAAGGACAUUAUUGCGUCCACGACGGACAAACCAUCCUCAUCGCAUGGGAACUCUGCAUCGUCACGCCCCUCGCUCGCAAACGGCGUGCACUUUGCGGCCAUCUGCACCAACCUAACCCGCGUCGAGGCCCUGAUGGCCACCCUCAAGUCCGUCCGCACGGUCGACAAGACCGCGCAGCACCGAUCGUACCUGAACCGAAGAUGGCGCCACCGUACGACCAAGACCACGGCACGGACCGACCCUGACGCCGAGACCAAGACGGACCGACAGACCGAGUACCGCUACUGGGAGUUCCGGAAGCGGUUCAACAUACUGGAGACGCUGUACACGGACCAAUUCGACGACAUCGGGGGGCCCGACGGGGGUCACAAGGAGGCCGUUUAUGGCAACGAUUUGCACGCUUCGCUCGAGUACGUGCGGUGGCUCUGUCGGAAGUACCAAGCGACCAUGCGGAACGGAACUGACGGAACCAUCAUCCAGCCGGGAGUGGUGGAGGACGACUCCGGACUGGUGGCCGGAAUCGCCAUCGCCGUCAUCUCCAUCGUCGUGCUGGCGUUCCUGACGGUCGCGUACAUGGUCUACCGGCACCACGUGCACCGGAACUCGACCUCGAUGAACUUUGACAACCCGGUGUACCGGAAGACGACCGAGGACCAGUUCAGCCUGGAGAAGAACCUGCCGAGCAGCCGCAUGUACCCGAGCACCGUCGGCGAGGAGCGAAUAAGACACUAAAAAAAAUCCCUGCACAAGAGUAAAAAGUAAAAGUCAGAGACGAUUUGAAGCAAACAAAAACAAUAGCAUUCACCACCCACAAACCACAAAACACAUCACCCUUCUCACACAAACUCACACACACACACCGAACGUUGAGUAGUAGGCGUUGAGCGACCAACCAAGCCAAAGUAACAAAGAAUGCGUGGGCGCGCGCUCGCUCGUCCAGGCCCAGGAACCGCUAAACAAACCGUCCACCAACGAUUUCGUUUAGCGUGUUUGCGCGCGCGACCCGGACGAGAAAGCGAGAAACAGCCUAAGAAGACAGCACAAAAAGUAAAAGAAAAACAGGAAGCUAAACAACAAACCACCAAAUCGAGAAUAUGAGACUUGUAUUCUUCCAGUAAACGCAGCAACAAAACAAAACAAAAAAACUAACAAAAAAGAAGGUUGAUAAAAACAACAAACAAUUGUGGACAAGUGAGUGAGUGAACAGCUAACAGCUAAAAAAGGCAUCCAUCCUAAAGCGAAGAAGAAGAAGAAGAAGCAGACGCGAUUGACAGAUUGAGGAAGGCAAAGUAGGCGUUGUAGAGUGUUUGUUUCUUUUGCCGCGGUAGUGAAAUUAUGUUGUAAUUAUUUUUUUGAUACGCUCGAAGAGCGUAAGAAAAUUGUGUUUUUUUUCACUUACUUUGUAGUGUGUGUGUUUUCUUAUGUAAAUCAAUUGUGAAUAGGGGCAACUAUUUUGGAAAAUUUAUAUAUUUAUACGUAGGAAAUAUGAUUAUUCGUAACGAUGGUGGUGAAAAGUUUUUCGGUCGAACCGAGCCCUAUUUCGUUAUCCCUUUUUUGUAAUAAACUGUUAGCAGAUUAACUUACGUUUUUGUUUUUUUCUCUCGCGAAAUUCGAAUAUUAUUUAAAAAUGUCGUGCAUGCUUGUUCAGCCUUAGCCGCCGUCUUUGUAGGCUUCGAGGGAGGAAACAUUAACUGUAAUAUAAAAA